GACGAACGCUGGCGGCGCGCUUAACACAUGCAAGUCGAACGGAAAGGCCUGCUUUCCCUUGUGGAUUGCGGGUACUCGAGUGGCGAACGGGUGAGUAACACGUGAGUGAUCUGCCCCCAACUUGGGUAUAAGCCUGGGAAACUGGGUCUAAUUCCCGAUAGGACUGCAGGGUGGUGCCUGUGGUGGAAAACGAUUUUCUAGUGGUUGGGGAUGAGCUCGCGGCCUAUCAGCUUGUUGGUGGGGUAAUGGCCUACCAAGGCGGCGACGGGUAGCCGGCCUGAGAGGGUGGACGGCCACAUUGGGACUGAGAUACGGACCAGACUCCUACGGGAGGCAGCAGUGGGGAAUAUUGCACAAUGGGCGGAAGCCUGAUGCAGCGACGCCGCGUGGGGGAUGACGGCCUUCGGGUUGUAAACUCCUUUCGACCGCGAGGAAGCCACCUGGUUGGAAGGGUGGUGACGGUAGUGGUAGAAGAAGCACCGGCUAACUACGUG
rnacentral:rRNA from 1 species